AAUCUUCCGCAAUGGACGAAAGUCUGACGGAGCAACGCCGCGUGAGUGAUGAAGGUCUUCGGAUCGUAAAACUCUGUUGUUAGGGAAAAACAAGUAUCGUUCGAAUAGGGCGGUACUUUUCCUGUACGUAACCAGAUAGCCUCGGCUACCUACGUGCCAGCCGCCGCGGUAAUACGUAGUUGGCAAGCGUUAUCCGGAAUUAUUGGGCGUAAAGCGCGAGAAGGCGGUUUCUUAAGUCUGAUGUGAAAGCCCACGGUUCAACCGUGGAGGGUCAUUGGAAACUGGGAAGCUUGAGUGCAGAAGAGGAGAGUGGAAUUCCAUGUGUAGCGGUGAAAUGCGUAGAGAUAUGGAGGAACACCAGUGGCGAAGGCGACUCUCUGGUCUGCAACUGACGCUGAGGCGCGAAAGCGUGGGGAGCGAACA
rnacentral:rRNA from 1 species